UAUGUCAUGAAGAUUGGACAGAGCCAAACUGU
rnacentral:piRNA from 1 species